CGGGGCGUCACGGGCGGGCAGCGGUUAAAGCGCGGGAGGGGCGGCGAUAGCACCGGCUGCGGGAGGGCGCGAUGGAGCGGGUGGUGCUCGUGACCGGUGCCAGCAGCGGCGUGGGCUUGGCGUUGUGCCGGCGGCUGCUGGAGGAGGAUGGCCGUAUCCAUCUCUGUAUCGCCUGCCGCAACUCCCAGAAGAGCGAAGCCACGCGAGACCUCAUCCUGGAAACCCACCCGGCCGCACAGGUCUCUACUGUGGAAGUUGACCUGGGCAGCCUGGCUUCCGUGCUGCGUGUUGCCCGUGAGCUCCGCUGCAGGUUUCAACGCCUGGACUUUGUCUACCUCAAUGCUGGGAUCAUGCCCAACCCGCACGUGAACUUCAAGGCACUCUGGCAUGGUCUUCUCACUGGGAAGUUACUUCACAUGCUGACCACUGCAGAAGGCAUAAUGACCCAGACGGACAGGCUGAAUGGAGAUGGACUUCAGGAGGUGUUUGCCACCAACCUCUUUGGACACUUUAUUCUGGUUCGUCAACUUGAGUCUCUACUCUGCGGUAACGAAAAGCCUUCACGACUCAUCUGGACCUCUUCCAGCAAUGCUAGGGAGUCUGCCUUCAGCCUCUCUGACUAUCAGCAUGCCAAGGGGCAGGAAUCAUACAGUUCCUCCAAAUAUGCUACUGACCUGACAAGUGUGGUUCUGAACAGGAAAUUUAAUAAGCAGGGUCUGUAUUCCAGUGUUGUUUGUCCUGGUCUUGUUAUGUCUAAUAUGACCUACAGAAUUUUACCAGUUUUUCUGUGGAAGCUGCUAAUGCCCAUCAUGUGGUUGGGUCUGCUGGUCUGAACAAAGAUCCUCUCAACGAGGCUGGUGGGUGGGUGGUGUAUUUCAGCCCUGAAUAGCAUACAGCAGUGAGUGCUGGGGGACCAGCUACGACUGGGGCUGAUCUGCCAGGUGAUGCUUUAUGACCUUCAUAAAAAUAAAUUAUUUUGGAAAAACACUCUUCCUUCCCUCUCAGUCAGGGAGAAUGCUGCUCUCCCUGAUGGCAGUCAAGCAGCUGCAGACAUGCAUGCUUGAUGGAGGCAGGUAGCAGUGUGCCUCAAGUGCAGUAGUGAGUAAGUUUAGCCAUGUUGAACUGCUUUAGUGGUUUAGCACUGGGACAUAACAUGUUUUACUGUUGGCUUGGGCAGGUCACAGCUGAGGGGAGCCAGCUCAGAAGUACUUCUCUAAAUACGAAGUCUUCCCUUGCUUGGUGAAAGCACCUGUGAUGUGUUCUCCUCAGUCCAUUGGCACUUGGGUCCUUGACUGCAGGCUUGGUUGGGACAGUGUGUGCUGGACUUGUACAUGUUUGGGCUGUUCUUCCUAGGUGUGGCUUUUCAAACAGAAGCCAGAGCACCUGGAUGCACUUGUCAAAUACCACAGCUGUACUUCUGGACUGGGGAAGAGCUACGUGGAGCCCAGAAAGUUUGAUGUGGAUGAAGAAACUGCUGAGAAACUUUAUGGAAAGCUCUUGGAACUGGAGAAGCAGACUCUAGAGAGAUACAGUGAUCUUCUAGAUUAAGUAAAGCCAGCCUCAGUGGGAUAACAGUCUCAGAUAGGUAAUAUGGGCUUUCUUCAUUCUGGUGCUGCUUGUGUUGCCUGCUGUUCUGCAGGCAUGUGGCUUCAGACCCCAUCUUCCUUCUCAGCAGAAGGUGAACAAUUCCUGAAAAUGGAAAUGUGAAAACUGAAGAGAAAAAACUUAAUCUUUUUGGUAUGGUAUUUUUUUUUCUAGCAUGAAACUGGAGACCUAGAGUAGGUGGAGACUGUCUUGACACACUUGCAAAUAAGUGUCUUGCAAAAGCAUGACUGAACUGCGCAAAGUUUGGGAACAGCCUCAAAACAUGUGGUUUAAAUGUGGCUUAGCACAUGAAAGGCAACAAUCUGGGGUUCUGCGCUGUGUUUUGGCUCUACACACAUUACCUGUGGCUGAUCCUGAAGUACUUGAAGGCUCAUCUUCAGAAGAGCUGCUCUUAUACUUGUACAACAAAGCUGGGGCCAGCUUUCCGGAUAUGCUCACCAAGACUGAACCUUACUGGAAGUCAGGCUCUGCACAGCAUGUGAAGCCAAGCUCCUGAAGAACUGCCCUGAGAAGAGCACCCAUUGCCUCAGUUGUGAGAAUAGAUGCCUUGCUGUCCCCUGGGUGUGGGGCCGUAAAGGUUCUAACCACAACUGACUGCAGAGACUGAAGCUGUUGAUGUUAACCUGCGCUCAGGGCUAAUCUGCCCUGUUUGUAGCAAGAGUGAGAGGUUAUGUUAUUUUAUGUAUUCAGAUCUUUUUAUAUAAAUUUACUGUACCAACUAUUCUUCCUGUUGCCUAUCCUGGGGAGCUUCAAGUACCUGGUGUACUUCAAAUUCUGCUACGAAUAAAUGAUUGGAACUGA